rnacentral:rRNA from 1 species
CGCGUGUACUGGUCCGGCCGGGCCUUUCCCUCUGUGGAACCCCAUGCCCUUCACUGGGUGUGGCGGGGAAACAGGACUUUUACUUUGAAAAAAUUAGAGUGCUCCAGGCAGGCCUAUGCUCGAAUACAUUAGCAUGGAAUAAUAAAAUAGGACGUGCGGUUCUAUUUUGUUGGUUUCUAGGACCGCCGUAAUGAUUAAUAGGGACAGUCGGGGGCAUCAGUAUUCAAUUGUCAGAGGUGAAAUUCUUGGAUUUAUUGAAGACUAACUACUGCGAAAGCAUUUGCCAAGGAUGUUUUCAUUAAUCAGGAACGAAAGUUAGGGGAUCGAAGACGAUCAGAUACCGUCGUAGUCUUAACCAUAAACUAUGCCGACUAGGGAUCGGACGAUGUUAUUUUUUGACUCGUUCGGCACCUUACGAGAAAUCAAAGUGCUUGGGCUCCAGGGGGAGUAUGGUCGCAAGGCUGAAACUUAAAGAAAUUGACGGAAGGGCACCACCAGGGGUGGAGCCUGCGGCUUAAUUUGACUCAACACGGGGAAACUCACCAGGUCCAGACACAAUGAGGAUUGACAGAUUGAGAGCUCUUUCUUGAUUUUGUGGGUGGUGGUGCAUGGCCGUUCUUAGUUGGUGGAGUGAUUUGUCUGCUUAAUUGCGAUAACGAACGAGACCUUAACCUGCUAAAUAGCCCGUAUUGCUUUGGCAGUACGCCGGCUUCUUAGAGGGACUAUCGG